GAUGAACGCUGGCGGCAUGCCUAACACAUGCAAGUCGAUCGGUAAGGCUCUUCGGAGUACACGAGAGGCGGACGGCUGAGUAACGCGUAGGAACACACCCUGCAGUGAGGGAUAAGACACCGAAAGGUGUUCUAAUACCGCAUACGGUCUUCGGAUUAAAGCAUUUAUGCGCUGAAGGAGUGGCCUGCGUCAUAUUAGAUAGUUGGUGAGGUAAUGGCUCACCAAGUCGAUGAUGUGUAGCUUGUCUGAGAGGAUGAUCAGCCAGACUGGAACUGAGACACGGUCCAGGCUCCUACGGGAGGCAGCAGUGAGGAAUAUUUCACAAUGAGCGAAAGCUUGAUGGAGCAAUGCCGCGUGCAGGAUGAAGGCCCUCGGGUUGUAAACUGCUUUUAUAAGAGAAGAUUAUGACGGUAACUUAUGAAUAAGGGACGGCUAACUACGUG
rnacentral:rRNA from 1 species